AUGGAAGCUGCUUCACGAACGGAAGAACAAAAAGACACUACGUUAGCAGAUGCUACAAAGUCUGUGUAUGGUGACUCCAGCUCAAGCUCAAGGUCUUCUUCGGCUAGCCUAGCCGCAGCUAAAGCAAGGGCUAAAGUAUUAGCUGCACGUGCCCGUACCACGUUUGUUCAAAAAGAAAAUGAUCUACUAAUAGAAAAAGCUCGCAUGGACGCUAGUCUUGCUACCCUAAAGCUAGACAAAGAGAUUGCAUCAGCAGAAGCAGAAGCCGAAGCUCUUGAGUCAACUGCAGCAGAAUUGGAGAGAGGCUCCAGAACUAUAAUUUCUCUUCCAACUCAAUCUCCACGUGAAAGAACGUUUAACUACGUUGAGUGUCAUUCAAAUGCAGCCUCUGAGUCUACACCUACUGACCCAACACGUCAGCCUCAACAACGUAACCCUGCUAACGUUAAUAGCACAAGGCAAUACAAUCAAGACUCCUUCGAUAGAGACCUCAACAGAUCUAGGCAACCUGCCUUAACCAACCAGGCACCAAGCCCUGCUCCUGAUGAAAAACCUCACAUCCCCUACCCAAUGGGGACACAUCAGCCACUCUCGUCCACUCACCCCAGACAGGCUCCUCAUACUCACUAUGGUGACCAUACGGGGUUCGGUGAGGUAGCUCAAUUCCUUGUUCGGCGCGAACUAUUGAGCUCCAGCCUUACCAAAUUCGAUGAUCAACCUGAGAGCUACUGGGCAUGGAGGUCGAGCUUCCUAAACUCCAUUAGAGGAAUUGAUCUCACCUGCAGCGAAGAGCUCGAUCUACUCACUAAAUGGUUAGGCCCGCAGUCUUCAGCGCACAUCAAGAGGAUAAGAGCUGUCCACGUCAACGACUCAACUCAAGGCCUGAAAAUGGCAUGGUCUCGUCUUCAGGAGUGUUACGGCUCACCAGAGAUGAUCGAAAAGGCUCUCUUUGACAGAGUGGAGAAGUGUCCCAAAAUCAACAGCAGGGAUUAUCCUAAACUAAGAGAGAUUGGAGACCUGCUACAGGAGCUAGCAUCGGCUAAGCGCGAGGGCUACUUACCUGGACUUGCUUGCUUGGACACAGCUAGAGGUCUGAACCCCAUAGUGGAAAAAUUACCAUGGAACCUCCAAGAAAAGUGGAUUUCUAAGGGGAGUAACUACAAGUUAGCGCACAACGUGCCCUUCCCACCUUUCACCUACUUUGCUGACUUUGUCUCCAGAGAGGCUCUCAUCCUCAACGACCCAAGCUUCUCUUUUGCCAGUUCAGCUACUACAACAACUAAGCCAGACGCUGCAGAUAAGAAGACAAGAAACUUCGUAUCCGCCCAUAUAACGGAUGUCUCUCCGGUUUCCGACUCCGACACAAGAGAGACUUCCAGUGCUAGGCCUGAUGUCAAUAAACAGUGCCCCAUCCACCAAAAGCCUCACCCCCUCAAACAUUGUAGAGGCUUUCGAUCCAAACAUAUCGAAGAACGCAAGGCAUUUCUCAAAGAAGCUGGUAUAUGUUUUCGAUGUUGUUCUUCAAACAAACACGUUGCCAAAGAUUGCAAAACAGAAGUGCACUGUAAGGAGUGCAACAGUGACAGGCAUAUAUCGGCUCUUCACGCUGGGCCAGUUCCUUGGGCUAACCAGUCCCCUCAGGCAGAGAACGGCGGGGAGUCGGAACCUCCUCCUACAGUGAACUCCAUGUGCACCGAGAUCUGUGGAGGAAACAACGGACCUAGCUCCUGCUCUAAAAUUUGCCUCAUCACAGUGCAUCCUAAGGGAGAACCAAACAGGUCAGUGAGACUCUACGCCAUUCUUGAUGACCAGAGCAACCGGUCACUCGCCAGGCCAGAGUUCUUCAACCUCUUUAACCUUGAAAGCUCAGAAGCUCCCUACACAUUACGUACGUGUGCCGGUCUCACUGAAAUGUCAGGUAGGAGAGGCAGAGGCUUUGUCGCACAACCUUUGGAUGGAAAUCUCAGUAUAGAUCUUCCGACACUCAUUGAAUGCAACUACAUUCCUGAAGACAGGUCCGAGAUACCUACUCCAGAAGUAGCAAAAUAUCACACACUCGCCUCAAUUCCAUUGUUGAGCACAUUCCUCCGCUUGACCCAGAGGCUCAGAUCCUUCUUCUCCUUGGGCGUGAUGUCCUACAGGCUCACAAGGUACGAGACCAGCGCAACGGACCUAAUAGCGCACCAUAUGCCCAACGCUUGGAUCUUGGUUGGGUUAUCAUCGGUGAGGUCUGCCUAG
ensembl:lncRNA